rnacentral:lncRNA from 1 species
CUAAGUUACUUAUUUUGUCAAAUAUUAUUUUCAAAUAUACUUAUUAUAAUCACAAAGAGACGCAAAAGAUAAAAAAUUGUCAUUACAUUAAUUAAAAUGUUAUAAGAUGACUAAACAGCACUAGACACUGUUACAAACACGUUAAAGGAUGUAUAAAAACGCACAGUAAGGUCGAACUGGAUAACAGGGUUUAUGUUUUGGAUUUAAUAAAACCAAAGGCGCAAAUAAUUUUCCCAUUGAUGCCAUGGUUGAUUUUUGAAGCAGUUGCUGACAAAUCAUAGAAUACUUAGUUGCACUUGAUACUAAGUUAAACGUACCUAAGUUACUUAUUUUGCCAAAUAUUAUUUUCAAAUAUACUUAUUAUAAUCACAAAGAGACGCAAAAAAUAGAAAAUUGUCGUCACAUUAAAUUAAAAUGUUAUAAGAUGACUAAACAGCACUAGACACUGUUACAAACACGUUAAAGGAUGUAUAAAAACGCACAGUAAGGUCUCGUUGUUACCUGAUAUGUCACAAGGACAGCCAAUGACCGGAAAUUGAAGGUAAACUCAGAAUCCAACUCCGAAGUUGAAUAAAAUCUUACAGACAACGGCAGAAAAGUAGAAGUGUAAAUUACUAGAUUAAUAGAGUUAGGCAAGGAAAUGUGUUGGUUAGAGUUCCUUAAACUCCUCUAACAAAACCAAUCACACUUUCCAUGCUUAC